GCCGUUGCAGGAGGUCCUAUCGCCCACUGUGUUCAUCUCCUUCUCCUCUCUCCUCUCUCUCUCUGGGUUUGUUCUCACUCUCGCGGAUCUCAAUGCUCUCUCGCGUGGCACUAGUGCAGGGAGCGCCGCCGACAUAUCGCAGGGAGGCAGCUCAUCUGCGGGGAUGUGGAGGAGGGCCCCUGCUACGCAAAACCGAGCACUGCAGCCAGUCAUGCUGGGCGCACCGACCCGCUGGAGGUCGCCCCACCGGCUGUGGUUAAUGAGGUGACCAAUCUGCCACUCAUCAUGUGUCUGUACUGCAAGGAUUUGAGGCUGGUUGCUUUCACUUGCAAGUGGACUAAUAAUUGAGGCAAGAGAUUUUUCAAAUGCCAAAGAUACAAUGAAUUGGAGGAAAAUCGAUGUGGGUUUUACAUGUUUCCGGAUAAGUAUGAGCACUACCUUGAGACCAAAGGCUACCCGGGGCAUUGCAGGACCAAUGUUGAGAUGGAUGGUGUCCAUGAAGUGGAACCAAUUGAGUAAGUCAGGGAGGGAUUGCAUGAUUUAAUUGAGAUGCUAAAGAUGAAGCUGCAAAUUGAGGACUUGAAGAAUGAAGAAAGGAAAAUGAAAUGUGCAUGUGUUGUGCUGUUUGUGUUGUUGUUAGUUGUGGGAUUUGCACUUAAGUAAAGCAUUAGAUCUGUGUAAUGGCAUUUGUAAUGGAGAUCUUUAUAAUCUGGAUUGUCCCUAUGUUUAUCAAUGCAAUGAUAUGGAGGUGUGACCAAUCUGUUAUUUGGUUUGA